CAUCUUAUUCCCAGACAUUAUGGUUUUGGUAAUCUCUUCUUUGUUUUCACUUGAAAGUUGAUCUGCAUCUACCACUUCUCAUUUCUUGUGAUUUCAUCCCUCUCUUUCUCCUUUUUCUCUCUCACCUCCAAAUCUUCUUUCCCCUUCCUUUUUUGUCUCUGCUCUGCUUUUCUUGGUUUAUUUUUUUUCCCUUUAGAAAAAAUUUUUUAAACAUCUAUAUUCCAGUUAUAUUCAACACUCGAUGGUGGUGAAUUUGGAUAAGACUUUGUGUUAAAUAUUACGGAAAACAUAAAUACAGACAUUAUUCAUGUCUUACCAUUGAGAAAAUUUAUUUCUUGAAUUAUAAUCUAAGACAAAUUAUAGAACGAUAUUUUUUCAGUCCAUUAGUUCAACAAAAAUUUAGUAAAAUAUGUUUGAGGCAGUGUUUGGGGGCAAUGAGUGCAUAGUGGAGAAUAAAAUAGACCUCCUUGCCUUCACACAGUUUAUAAUCUUAGAUGUCAUCAAUUGUAAGAUGCAACAUCUAUUUUAUAAAAGAUUUUUCAGGAAUAAAAGCUGCAUUAAAUGUUCAAUCGGGGAGUUCCUAUUGUGGCCCAGUGGUAAUGAACCUAUUAUCCAUCAGAAUGCAGGUUUGAUUCCUUGCCUCACUCAGUGGGUUAGGGAUCUGGCAUUGCUGUGAGCUCUGGUGUAGAUAACAGGCACAGCUCAGAUCCGGCAUUGCUGUAGCUGUGAUGUAGGCCUGCAGCUGCAGCUCCAAUUCGAAUACUUGGCUUCGGAAGAUUUUCAAUGUGAAAAGUAGAUCUGUUUUCAGUUUGGGCCCCAGAAACUCUAAAAUGAGGAUUUACAUGUAAGUGAUUAAGAAAAUGCUUCCAGGUGAUGCAGCUUAUGGGGUUGGGUGAGUAGGCAACAAGGGUAAACACCAAGCUGGAAUGCAAUGUCAAGCAAAGUCUCACCCUCCUCUUGAUAGGUCAUAGGGUAGCUCCAAGAGUAACUUAAACCUUAGAGAUUGCCACCUCCUUUGGUGCAGGGAGCUGUGUUUUCAUGCUCCCCUCUUGUUAGUCAUGAGCUAAGGGUCAGAUACCAAGUAUGUCAGGAUAUGGUGCAGGCAAAAUUACUUUCCUAGUCCAAGGGCGGUGCUGUGUGCAGUUGCUGGAGGCCAAAAUGUACCACACUGCUUGGUUUUCUUGUUUCAAAUAGUGAUGAUCUCAGGCACCAUCUGUAUUGUUAUCAUUGAUAGUUUUGUCAUUGUUAUUCAUUUUAUUUUUUUAAGUAAAUGCGAAAUUACUUAAAUGGUGUCAUGUGCAUGUGUUAUAAUUACAGACUCCCACGCACAGUACACAACUGCUAGGAAAGAGGGAAACAUGUACAGACAGACAACCCUGUUAGUGAGGAAUUAUUUUUAUCCCUUUUUUUUUUUUCUUUUUAGGCCUGCACAUGCAGCAUAUGGAAGUUCCCAGGCUAGGGCUCAAACUGGAGCUGCAGCUGCUGGCCUACACCACAGCCACAGCCCUGAAAGAUCCGAGCCACGUCUGUGACCUACACUGCAGCUCACAGCAACGCUGGAUCCUUCACCUACUGAGCGAGGCCAGGGAAAGAAGCAGCAUCCUGAUGGAUACCAGUCAGGCUUGUUGCCUCUGAGCCACAAGUGAAAUUCCUCUGUUAGUGAGGAAUUAAAAGACUGAUUCCUUGUUAUAACACCUUGUUUUCAAUACUAAUAUGAUUGGAUUCAUUUUAAUGUGAGUUGGUGUUGCUUUAGCAUAAAUAGGUUUAAUUUGGGUGUCACAAAUGCAUAAAAUAUUUUCCCUUUGCUAUUAAUGGUAAUUUUAUUUUUACUUAUGAAAAUUGACUUUAGGAAGGAUUUUUUCUAGGGGUAAUGACUCUCAAGAGGUAGGGGUCAAGGCCUGUGUGUGUGUGUGUUCAGUUAUAAAUGUGGCUAUACUUUUAAAAAAGUUUUUGUUUUGAAAUAAUUAGAUUUAAAAUAAUACAGAGAUCCCAGGUACCAUCAUUUCCUCCAGUGGUUCUGUCUUAUGUAAAUAUACUACACUGUCAAAGUCAUGAAACUGACAUUGGUGUAAUGUGUGGGUAUAGUUCCACUCCAUUCUAUCACAUAUGUAAAUUUGUAUAACCACUGCCACAAUCAAGACACAAAACUGUUUCAUGGCCACAAGGCUCCUUCAUGCUUUCUGCUUAUAGUCAUGCCCACUCCCCACCUCUAACCUCUGGCAAUCACUAAAUUCUUCUCCAUCUCCUCUUUUUUUUAGGAACACACAUGCACCAUAUGGAAGUUCCCAGGCUAGGGACUGAAUUGGAGCUGCAGCUGCCGGACUACACCACAGCCAUAGCAACUCAGGAUCCAAGGCAUGUAUGAGACCUACACCACAGCUCAUGGCAAUGCCAGAUCCUUAGCCCACUGAGCGAGGCCAGGGAUCAAACCCGCGUCCUCAUGGAUACUAGUUGGGUUCAUUACCACUGAGCUGCAAUGGGAACUCCCUUGAUUUUACAUUUUGAUAAUUUUAUGUAAAUGAAAUUAUACAAUAUAUGUAGCCUUUUGAGAGUAGCACUUUUUCCCACUUAGAAUGAUUACUUGGACAUUUAUCCAAAUUGUUGCAAUAUUGAGAUUUUGUUCCUUUUUAUUACUAAGUAGUAUAGACAUACCCGUUUGUUUAUCUCUUCAUCAGUUGGUGGAUGUUUAAGUCCUUUCCCCUUUUUGACUAUUACAAAUAAAGCUGCUGUGGAUAUUUGUGCACAGGUUUCUGUGUGGACAUGAAUUUUCAUUUCUCUGGGAUAGAUGCCCAGGAAUGUGAUUACUGGCUCAUAUAUCAGUGUAGAUAUGAAUUUUGUUAUAGAGAAAUGUGACCACAUUGGUUAAGUUUUAGAAGGUAUAGACUUGGCCAAAAAUGUUUUAAACUUUGUUAGAAAAGAUGAACUUAGCAUUAAGAUAAUGAUGAUUUUAUAAAAUAAGGAUUUGUCCACAGGGAAUUCAUGUUAUAAGUAUUAUUUUGGCUUUCUAAUCUUGUACUAUAUUUCUAAUCCUUGUUCUAACCUACAAUUUCAUAACAGCCUAUGACUCCUGGUGAAUUCCCUUGGAAUGGCUGCUUUUCUGCAGUAGAAAGCAGUGUCCUUAAUAUCAGCUCAUCAUUAUUCUACUUAAGUCUACUCUUUCUAUGCAACUAAUUCAAUGAAGCAAAUCUGGGGGCAUUCUAAAUAUAGCCAGUAUGUAUUGUUUUCGUUUCAAGGGGCGCUAUUAGUUUUCAGUUGUCUGUGUCUGCUUUUUUGACCAAUGUAGUUUUGAAUGCCUGUUAAAAACUGGCAGUUCUUCACAUUCAAAAGGCACUGCUAAUAUAUGGUUAUUGUCUUGUGUUGCUUUAAAGCUUUUAGACAUUGUGAAAAGAAAGCGUUGUUAUUCUGUCACAUAAGCCUGAGAACAUCAGCUCAAUAGACAAACUCUAACCUCCUCCCAUCCAGUGUUGAGAAUCAUCCUGAUGAAACAAUUUCAUGGUAUUUGAUUUAGUAAAGAUUUCAGGCACUGUCACACUGGGCUUCUGGGAUUCUCAUCACACAGUAAGUCCAGGGACUGAAGCAUGAAGAAGAUAUUGCCAAAUGUAUCACAACCACUGAUGUAAUUUGCAGGUCACUUCUUUUUAGUGAAAUAACAUAGAGCAUGUGUGGCUAUCCUAAACUUAUUUUUAAGUCAGAAUGUAUUCAGAACUGAAAGAGAAAAUGAAAGAGGAGAGAGAACCUCAUAAAUUAAUUGAGUGGCACUUUAGAUGCGGGUAGAGCCAAGCUCUUGAAAGCAUAUGCCUCAACCCUGGAAGUCUGCAUUCCAGCCCUCAAUCCUUCCUAGACAGCUCUAUUGGCUUUGAGAUUUAUGAUUUAUGACUUGCCACUUAUGGAGUAUUUAUAAAAUUUCGGUGGAAGAAAUUCUGACCAAUGUCAUGAUUAAAGGACAAGGGUUUAAACAUUUGGCCAAGGUCAAAAAGGAACUUAAUUCUGAAGUUGCCAUUAGAUUUCUGGCCCUAGCUUUCAUCCUCUCAGUCAGCUUGAGUGACCAUAAGAUUCAGUUUUCUUAGGGAAGUCCAGGUUAAAUUGUUCCAAUGGAAAUAUCAACAGUGCCCUUUUUACUCCGAAAAGUUUCCCGGUUUCGGGGUCAAUUCUGCCUUCACCCUAUUGUUAGCUACAUUAGUAUAUUUUUCUUGAUACAUUAACAAAAAUGGUUCAUCCCUAUUUCCUUUCUGCAAAAUAAAUGGGUGAUAAUCAUUGUCCUUUAACUCUACACUGAUAGAAAAACUUCAGUUUAAUGAUUGAUAUUUUCUAUUUGUUAAUAUCAGAAUUUCAGUCAUAGUUAUACACCCAAGGGAACUACAUGCGUAUAUCCAGACAAAAGCUUGUAAACAUUUUCUUUGUGGCACUAUUUAUAACGGUCCCAAAAUAUUUUCUUAAAUGCCACAACUGCCCAUUAGAAGGGUCUCUGGUAUAUUUCCAUGAUGGAACACUACAUAGCAAUGAAAAAGAGCAAACCAGGGAAACAUAACACUACAUGCAUGAACUUUAGAA
rnacentral:lncRNA from 1 species